UGGCCAUCCUGGGAGGUCGCCCUCCCUGGGCUCUGCAGAGGUGGCGCAGGAGAGCACAGCUCUGCCUAUGAGGUGUACAGUCCCUUUUCACCAGGGUCGAGAUGAAGUUGGACUUGCAUAUUGUUGUAGCUUCUCUUGAGUCUGUCGGACUAUGACCGAGGAGACAAAAGUAGGUAGAAAACAUGU
rnacentral:snoRNA from 1 species